rnacentral:rRNA from 1 species
GACGAACGCUGGCGGCGUGCCUAAUACAUGCCAGUAGAACGCACAGUUUAUACCGUAGCUUGCUACACCAUAAACUGUGAGUUGCGAACGGGUGAGUAACGCGUAGGUAACCUGCCUGGUAGCGGGGGAUAACUAUUGGAAACGAUAGCUAAUACCGCAUAAUAUUGAUUAUUGCAUGAUAAUUGAUUGAAAGAUGCUAUUGCAUUACUACCAGAUGGACCUGCGUUGUAUUAGCUAGUAGGUGAGGUAACGGCUCAACUAGGCGACGAUACAUAGCCGACCUGAGAGGGUGAACGGCCACACUGGGACUGAGACACGGCCCAGACCCCUACGGGAGGCAGCAGGAGGGAAUCUUCGGCAAUGGACGAAAGUCUGACCGAGCCACGCCGCGUGAGGGAAGAAGGGUUUCGGGUCGGAAAGCUCUGUUGUAAGAGAAGAACGGGUGUGAGAGUGGAAAGUUCACACUGUGACGGUAUCUUACCAGAAAGGGACGGCUAACUACGUG